UACCAGCACCCCGAGUGGUCGGGACGUUUUAUUGGGCCUAAAGCAUCCGUAGCCGGUUCUACAAGUCUUCCGUUAAAUCCAACUGCUUAACAGGUGGGCUGCGGAAGAUACUAUAGAGCUAGGAGGCGGGAGAGGCAAGCGGUACUCGAUGGGUAGGGGUAAAAUCCGUUGAUCCAUUGAAGACCACCAGUGGCGAAGGCGGCUUGCCAGAACGCGCUCGACGGUGAGGGAUGAAAGCUGGGGGAGCAAGCCGG
rnacentral:rRNA from 1 species